GUGGGGAAUAUUGCGCAAUGGGGGAAACCCUGACGCAGCGACGCCGCGUGCGGGAUGAAGGCCUUCGGGUCGUAAACCGCUGUCGCGAGGGACGAAAAUCUGACGGUACCUCGAAAGGAAGCACCGGCUAACUCUGUGCCAGCAGCCGCGGUAAUACAGAGGGUGCGAGCGUUGUCCGGAAUUACUGGGCGUAAAGGGCGCGUAGGCGGUUCGGUAAGUAGGAGGUGAAAUUUCGGGGCUCAACCCCGAAACUGCCUUCUAAACUGCCGAACUGGAGCACGGUAGAGGCAGAUGGAAUUCCCGGUGUAGCGGUGGAAUGCGUAGAGAUCGGGAAGAACACCAGUGGCGAAGGCGGUCUGCUGGGCCGUUGCUGACGCUGAGGCGCGACAGCGUGGGGAGCAAACAGGAUUAGAAACCCGGGUAGUCC
rnacentral:rRNA from 1 species